UGCGUAGGUGGUGAGGUAAGUCGGAUGUGAAAGCUCCGAGCUCAACUCGGAAAUGGCAUUGGAAACUACCUUGCUCGAGGGUUUGAGGGGGGACUGGAAUACUUGGUGUAGCAGUGAAAUGCGUAGAUAUCAAGUAGAACACCAGCGGCGAAGGCGAGUCCCUGGAAAACUCCUGACACUGAGGCACGAAAGCUAGGGAGCAAACA
rnacentral:rRNA from 1 species